GGUUGAUCCUGCCAGUAGUCAUAUGCUUGUCUCAAAGAUUAAGCCAUGCAUGUCUAAGUACGUGCCUUUACAAGGUGAAACCGCGAAUGGCUCAUUAAAUCAGUCAUGGUUUACUAGACCGUUCUAUCCUACUUGGAUAACUGUGGUAAUUCUAGAGCUAAUACAUGCCAAGAGUCUCCUGCCCUUGUGGCUCGAGCGCUUUUAUUAGACCAAAACCAAUCGGGCACUCGUGCUCGUCAGUUUGUGGUGACUCUGGAUAACUUUGAGCAGAUCGCACGGUCUUCGUGCCGGCGACGUAUCUUUCAAAUGUCUGCCUUAUCAACUGUCGAUGGUAGGUUACUUGCCUACCAUGGUUGUAACGGGUGACGGGGAAUCAGGGUUCGAUUCCGGAGAGGGAGCCUGAGAAACGGCUGCCACAUCCAAGGAAGGCAGCAGGCACGCAAAUUACCCACUCCCAGCACGGGGAGGUAGUGACGAAAAAUAACGAUGCGGGACUCUUACGAGGCCCCGUAAUCGGAAUGAGCACACUUUAAAUCCUUUAACAAGGACCUAUUGAAGGGCAAGUCUGGUGCCAGCAGCCGCGGUAAUUCCAGCUUCAAUAGCGUAUAUUAAAGUUGUUGCGGUUA
rnacentral:rRNA from 1 species